UACGGGGGGAGCAAGCGUUGUUCGGAUUUACUGGGCGUAAAGGGCGCGUAGGCGGCCACUGCAAGUCGCCUGUGAAAUCUCCGGGCUUAACCCGGAAAGGGCAGCCGAUACUGCGGGGCUAGAGUGCAGAAGGGGCAACGGGAAUUCUCGGUGUAGCGGUGAAAUGCGUAGAUAUCAAGAGGAACACCUGCGGCGAAGGCGGGUUGCUGGGCCGACACUGACGCUGAAGCGCGAAAGCCAGGGGAGCGAACGGG
rnacentral:rRNA from 1 species